AUUUUUCUUUCUCUUCAUUCUCUUUCUUCUCUCCAUCUCUUCCCGAAACUCUCUCGAAGCGUAGAGGAACCUGAAAUGGUACCUGCCAUUGGCGACUCCCUCUCCAGUCCAGUCCAAAUUGGGAUUCACGAUCGACUUCGUUUUCUUCUCUCCUAUCCGUCGCGCUUCUAUCGGUUCUCAGCGGACUCGUUUCCCGUACCGACUCAGCUCAGCAACCUUUCCGUCGCGAGCCGGGCCAUCCUCACUGGCAUCACAGCGCUUUCCUCGACGUCUGUGAGAGUGUUCGAUCCGAUGUCCGCCGUAUGCUUCACUCCCGUGCCGAGAUCACUUGUUACUGAGUUUUACUAAAAACAAAGGAUGAAUCAAAGCAUCCAUCGGUGUUUCAGGAGCUUUAUCGAUUCAGCUACCUUCUCACCAUUAUUUUUCUGUUUUCGUUAUGUGAUCAGUUUUCCUUCCCAUUAUCUGUUUAUGCCUUUCUGAUUUUGUAGUGUGCAUAUGUUUUAUGGUUAAUGCUAAUCACUUCUGCUGGAUAUGAAGUCAGUAUUAUGCAUAGGAGUUUGGAUGUUACAUAGUGGAGGUUCUGAUUCGUCCUGCUUGCAUACACUCCCCUAUAUUUGUACAUCAUGAGUUUGUGAGGUGGUUUUCUAUGUUUGUUACUUCUAGUGUAGAUUUCCGAGAAAGCAUAAACAGACUUUUCAUCAGGGAACUCAUCAGAUGAGGAGGGUUCAAAUGACACUCAUGGGAGAAUAACGUAGCAAUGGAUUUCUUAAAGUGGGUAUUUGACAACACAAUGGUCAAGGCCACGGAAGUGUUUGUGAAGAUUACAAAGGUUGUGAGCGAGCUUUUCAAUAGUUACAAUGACGAUGGUGUUAACAAGAAGGGGAAAGAUACCAAAUUCAACAAUUGGCUCGAGGAAAAGCUGAUGACCUCGCUCCUCCUCUCCAUUGUGGUUCUACUGGUCGUUAUGGUUUCUAGAGCCUGCAACAAUAAGUAAAAAUUAUAUUAUACUUAAAAACAUUUUUAUUUUGAAAUUGAUAUUUUUUAAAAAAUAAGAACUUCAAUUAGGGCAUCUGCAUUGGGAGAACAUUUUUGGGUGUUCUUAGAGUAAAAAUAUUAUGAAAAUAAUGUAAGAUCAUUAGUUUA